CUGUUGUAAUGUUACAUAUUAUUUACUUGUGAGAUAAACAACAUAUUUUUUUUACCGAAUAAUAACGAGUUAUAAGUGGCAUUCCCAACUCUAAACUGAUGGCAACAACAACAAUACAGAAGCUUAAGGUACUAGAAGUACAAUCCUGCUUAUAAAAUCAAAAUGACAAGUUUGGGAAACUGCAAUGGGAAUACUAAGCUACUGGAACACUGUGCUGCCCCCCCCCCAAUGGUGGAUGUUCAGUUUCUGUGCAUAGUGUUCAGUUUGUGCAAAGUUAUCUCUUGCCAAAGUUCUCCUUUGUGUGCCUAUAGUUCUAAAGACAUAAGGAUGAAACUUCAGGUUGCACAUCUUGAUAUAUUUUAUUUGAAGGGGCAGCUAAAGACAUGUGGUUGCCUGAGGCAAAGGGCAAGAGGAUGCCCUCCCCUUAUUCCACAUACAGAAGCAAACUAGAUUGACAGUUGAAUUAUGCUUUGAUGCUGCCAAGAGGAUGAUGCCAUGCACUGCACCUAUGGACAGCGGGCUUUUUUAGGAGGUGCACUGGAUGGUAGGCUGCUUGGCACCCACAGCUCUGUUCUCCAACACCUCUCCAUCAUUUCUUAUCCCCACCACAGCAUCUGCAUUCUGAGGCAACUGCCUCCCUGCCUAAUGGUAGGGCUGACUCUGUUUAUUUGUGUUAUCUUGGUAGGGCUUUUACCUAUGACUGGCUGUGGGACUGGAGGGCUUAAGAAGUGGAAAAUCUAUGUUCUAGGGCCGUCCACUGACUUUAUUGGGAAUGUUUUAUGCUAUGUUUUCUGUUACCACAAGAUAACACCAACUCAAAGGGGAGAAAAUGAGUCCUGGGAGAUCAUAGGCCUUUGUGGCAUACCCCACUUCACACCCUUUUGCUAACAGUGUACCAUUUGUAGUGAUCAAAUUACCAUCAAUUUGAUCACUAUUAUAACUUUACAAAUGUUUAUAGAGCAUUCUGCUUAUAUAACUUUUCUAUUUUGAAUCUGUAAGUGGGGUUCAUUAAAUGUCUCCUUGUACACCCAUGUUUGUGUUUAAAAUGAAAUUGGUUUGGGAACCUGAUCUAGAUUAGAAACAUUGAGUAGAUGGAGGGGUGUUUAAUUCCCCUGCACUGUGGUCCUGACUAAGAUUCUCCACCGACACCAAAAGUGGCUGGGGCAAAUAGUCGCUCUGAAGGGGUAUUUUCAUCAUGACAAUGGGACCAGGAGAAUCAAUCCAGAUUGUAGCUCCACCCCCUAGCUGCUUUUCAUUCAAAAACCACAUACACACAAAUGAAAAGCCAUAUUUAAGAUACUCUUUAGCUUGGCUCACAGAGGAUGGAACAGAUAUCUAAGGAUUAGGUUGCUGAGAUUUGUCCAUUAAAAUCAUAUUUGCAAGGUUCACUUGGAACGUAAUAAAGAUUUUAGGAAAUUUACAGAAUUUUUAUUCCAGUUUAGUAGGCAGUGACUAUCAUGAAAGUACUCACACAAUUUCUUUCCCCUAGAAUAUUGAAAUGUUAAGCUAUUAGGGGAAAUGAGCAUAGGAGUUACGCACCCACACUAACUCAUAAUUGCAUGGUACAAUAAUUUUCAUUGACCAUAAAUAGAAAAUGUAAUUUUGGAAGUAGGAAGCUAUUUUUACUAAGAUAGCUAUUUACAUUUCAAGUAUUUGAAUAUACGUGGGUGGGUUGUUUCCUGCAUUAACACUCUUCUCUGUGCCAAUUGAAAAAUGUCAACCCAGAACUAUUUCAGAUUUUGCUAACUGCAUUUCCUGGCAGCCUUCAUGCCAUGUUAAAUUCUGCUUUAGAGAGUCGCCUGAACUUCAAGAACAGCUGUGUGUGUGUGUGUUUUUAUGUGUGUGAGCAUCUGAAGAGUUGCAGUGGAAAGGCAGGGCAGUGGCAUCCCAUCCAAUAUGAUUAGCCAAUCAGUUUUAGUUGGGAAAUAUCACUUAAGUCUGCAUAAUAGCACUAAUGCUUAUGGGAUAAGCACUGUAAAUGCAACCUUUGAAAGGAACUGCUGGAUAAUUCUUUUUCUCUCUUUGUUAUAUUGAUGACAGGAUCAGGACAUGAGGAUACUGGUAGCACUCAGGCAAGUAUCUCCAGCCGGUAGAAGUGCUGUUAUGCAUGACACCAGUCCAUCCAGCUACCAGUACACCCAACAGUUUAUUUUGGUAUUUGAUGGCUAACUUUAUCCCAUCAUGUAUUCUAAUAUACAUAUAAGCAGUGAUAAGUCAUAUAAUUUUGAUGCUGUCAUAUAAAGAUUUUCCUAGAAACCCUAGUGUAAUGACUUUGGGUGUUUGACUCCACCAUUCACCUAGAGCCCUAUGGCAUGCCAUUCUGGCAUAGAUUCUCUUUCUGAAAACCCACCUGAUCUUGGCUGCUAUGUGAAUUGGUGAGGGUAGGAAAGGCCACUGAGAGUUGCAUGCAUUAAGUCUGUAUGUUUAAAAGGUAAAGGUAAAGGUACCCCUGCCCGUAUGGGCCAGUCGUGACCGACUCUAGGGUUGCGUGCUCAUCUCGCUCAAGAGGCCGUGAGCCGGCGCCGUCCGAAGACACUUCCGGGUCAUGUGGCCAGCGUGAUGAAGCUGCAACUGGCGAGCCAGCACCAGUGCCGCACAUGGAAACGCCUUCCCGCUAUAAAGCGGUACCUAUUUAUCUACUUGCACUCAGGGGUGCUUUUGAACUGCUAGGUGGGCAGGAGCUGGGACCGAACGAGCUCACCCCGCUGUGGGGAUUCGAACCGCCGACCUUACGAUUAGCAAGUCAUAGGCACUGAGGUUUACCCACAGCGCCACCCACGUCCCUCUGUAUGUUUAAAGUGGCUUAAAGCACUGUAGCCCUAGCACAAUGAAUCCACUCAAAAAACAACAGACUUUUUUGUGAUUUGUUAAGUGACAGGGGAAUGGAUUGAAAAAUGUGAUAUUAAUGAAUGAUUAAUGCAGAGAUGUGUAAACAGCCUGCAAACAAAUCAGGUUGGAUGCAGGAUGAAUAUUCAUUGUCAUAUAGCCACCCCAUAAAAAACUAAAAAUGAAUGCUAAGUAAAGGCUGGGCAUGAUCUAACCAUCGUGUCAGCUCUGUGCCAGCCAAUCAGGAGCAAUGCUUGAUGAGCAGGUUGUCUGGAAAAACCCUGAUUGUUAGUGCCAUUCCCAUGACUGUUGCCCAUUCCUCCCAGGGAUGUAGUAAGGGGUCCAUGCACUCUUGAGGCCCCUUAAGGAUAUUUCUCUCUGUAUAAGGAGGCAAGGAGAGUCCAGCUCCACUGUUUCACUUCUAAUCCUGGAAGAAAAACCAGCACUUCUUAAUGUAUCACAUACAUUUAGAGAUAUUCCUUCCUUCCUUCCCUCACGUCUCACUCUAGUCAGGCUCUGUCAGACACCAAACAAUUCUGUGAGGCCAAAUGAUAGAGGACCACUAAUCCAGAUUUCAGCAUUUGGGCCAGCACAAGUGUUUGUAUCAGUAGAUAUGAAACUACUGAGCUGGAAGCAUUUUUGUGAUGCUGUCAAAGAAGUCUAUUGGCUAAAAGCCACUGUGGUUAUUUUUACAGCUCCUCUCAAGGUCUGUGACUGACAGGAGAAGAAUCAUCUUGUCUCAGACAAAAAUGGUACUUUUGAGGCUGUUUCUAUAGAGCUAGCUUGAAUGCGGUGCUGUACCAUAGUGACACAAUUUGUGUCCAAAGUAUUUAUUUAAAAAGAAGAAGAUGAAGAAGAGGUAAGCUGAAGCAAUUAAACAUAGAAAGGGAAAAAUGAAUGUUAGCUCAAUUUACCAUUAAGAAUUUUAGAACCAGUAAGGGAGCUUACUGGCAAACAGGGGCUGGCUUGCCUCUCAGUGUUAAUUUUUGGAGGUUCACGCCCAGCCUCAGUAAUUGCUGGGAGCUGCGGCCAGUCUCAUUUAUAAAUAGGGGGUGGAGCUGACAAUAGCCAGGCAGUUGGCUCUGGAGAUUCACCCUCCCUACCCUCCCUUUGUUUAAUGUUUCUUGUUUGCAGGUUAACUUUUUCUUCCUGUUUAACGGGCACUGCUACAGUCUUUGACUGGUUGCUAUCGAAGGACCGGGAAGAAAUUUUCCUGCAUUGGCAGGUUUUGUCUUCCCCGUAGCAUUUCAUCACAACUUUGGUGGUUAUGGCCUUGGGUGGAAUCCUUUAGUCUUUCCUUCCCUAUAUAUGGGGGGCGUGGCGUGAAGUGGUGACUCACCCCCCUGCGGCAGUGAUUCCAGGGUCCCCCUCUUAAAGGGGUUAUAUAUAUAUAUGGGUGUCACUGGCCAUACACUGAAAGGUUGUCAGUGAACUACCCUGCGUGCGGGGAUAUAGGCUUGGCUGCCUGCUACACUUGCAUCUCGUAGAUCACCCCCAUAUCCCAUUUACCCUGGUGAGCCCAAGUUCCCCCCGACUGGGGGGCUGGGCCAAGCCAAGUUCUUCCUACAUUUGGAAGUUUAAUAAAGUUGUGGCAUAAUUUUAAUUCCAUAUAACAUUUUCAGAGUCUUUAUUCCUUCCUUAUGAUCCCUGGGGGCUGGGGCUGUCGCCGCCUGGUCAUGCAAUAAUUAUUAUUUAUACCCUGUCCAUCUGGGUGAGUUUCCCCAGCCACUCUGUUCAUCACAAUUUAGAGAUGGAAGAUACAGUACUUCUUUCACCUGGCAUCCAGAAGCCACAAGGAAAUGAUUUCAUUUUAUUUGUACCACACUUUUUAGCUAAGAUCCACCCCCAAAGCAGUUUACAAUAAAAUUCCAGUACCUGAGCUAGUUACUGCUACUGCAACUUAAUCAGCCUGGAUUUCAAAGUCUCAGCAGGGAUUAAAGUGCAGGGCUAUAGCUCAGUUGGUAGACUGUGGUGCUGAUAAUGCCAAGGUCGCAGGUUCAAUCCCCAUAAGGGACAGCUGCAUAUUUCUGCCUCAAUUUCCAGUUCAGUGUUCCAGUUUUAAUUCAGCUGCAAGGACUCCUGUAGAUGCAACUUUGCCUCAUUGUCACAUGUUCUGUACCCCUGUUUCUCAUGGUUCUCCUUCCAAGUAGAACCCCUGCUUGAUUUAGUACCUGAAUUAUUGCAAGUUCAAGGGAGUUUUUAGAGAGAAGCUGUCAGCUAAAAGAAAUUGUCUUUCAAUGAGAUUUCAAUGUGCUCAAUUAGAGAAAAGUACUUUUUUUGCACAACUGUUGCCAAGAAAUCGUGGAUGUAACGGACAGAAGUUUUCCUGCCUAAUCUUCUGAAGCUGAUGAAAGGUAGGAGCAAAGGCCAAACUAGAGGGGGUGCCACUCACACAAUUAGCAAUUGCAUAAAUAGCCUUUAAAGUAGACUGUAGACAUUGGAAAGCAAUUGGGACUGGGACCCUCAUGUCUGAGUUAGGGGACACUUUGAGUUAGUGUGGUGUAGUGGGUAAGAGCGGUAGACUCGUUAUCUGGUGAACCGGGUUCGCAUCUCCGCUCCUCCACAUGCAGCUGCUGGGUGACCUUGGGCUAGUCACACUUCUCUGAAGUCUCUCAGCCUCACUCACCUCACAGAGUGUUUGUUGUGGGGGAGGAAGGGAAAGGAGAUUGUUAGCCGCUUUGAGACUCCUUAGGGUAGUGAUAAAGCAGGAUAUCAAAUCCAAACUCUUCUUCUUCUUCUUUGUUCCCUGCUGUAGCCACAGUCAGUGGUCAGCUCCUGAGUUUUGUAUUGGGAGGAAAAAUCCCAUUUGCUUCAAUGGGAGCUUCUUUGUAUUGUAAGGAGUGGAAGCCUUGAUGUGGAUUAGAACUGUAGCACCAAGCAAAGUAUUAAAGCCCCCUCACCAAAUGCCAGAGUCCUGAUCCCACCCCCCAUGGUAAAAAAGAAGGAAAAAACUAUUCACGUAAUUGUGAAUUGUGGUGUUAUGUGUAGUUUGGCCCUAAGCCUUGAUGCUGCUCUGUCAAUGUCUGAUGAAAGAAUGAUUAGGAAUAUUGAUGUUUUCCCUCCAAAUCUUCAUUUGAGGGGAAACAGAAGCUUUAUAUAUAUAUAUAUAUAUAUAUAUAUAUAUAUAUAUAUACAUAUAUAUACACACACACUUUUUUUUUUUUUAAAAAAGAUGCAUAUUCUAAAUAGAGGGUCUCCCCCAAUCAAUUUGUAAUAGUUUGUGUCAUUCAAGUGAUCCACUUUCCUUUUAGGCCAUAGCCCUAUUAUCUCAAGCCCAUCAUCGUGUGUUAGAUCUAUCGCAGUAAUCCACAUUUGUUCUCGGAAGAAUCUCUAAUCAGAAUCCCUAUUCUUCUCUCUUUCUAAAAAUCAUUUUUAUCUGGCAGCAGGGGGAACAGGAAGUGGCACAUUCCCAUUUUGCCUCAGGUAGUGAAAUGGGAUGGGCCAUCCAGGCUGUGAGAGUGAUGGAAACGAACAGUACAUAUAAGUUUGCCUAUGCACAGUGUAUGCACAUUUGUGACAUGUGGGCCCACAGGGCUGCAUCUUUUACGUAAUUACUUAGCUACAUCCUUGCCUCUGAUGAUGAUCUUUCCAUAUGAGCAGGUUCUGGUGGAGGUAGGUCAGGCAUAGGCAAACUCGGCCCUCCAGAUGUUUUGGGACUACAACUCCCAUCAUCCCUAGCUAACAGGACCAGUGGUCAGGGAUGAUGGGAGUUGUAGUCCCAAAACAUCUGGAGGGCCGAGUUUGUCCAUGCCUGAGGUAGGUGAUCCUUGCUUUGGAUUGUGCUGUUUUAAAACGUACAUUUUUUUAAAAAAAAUGAAUAAACACUGUACUAUGUCUAGCUUGCCUUUUUAUAGUUACUACUUGAUAGAUAGGAGAACGUAAACACAUAGGCCAAUUGGAUUUAGAAGCUUUGUGUUCAGUUAGGUUCUGUCCUUCCUUUCAGUUCUUUAUUGGGUGUUAUUUAAGACAGGGAUUUUGAAUGUGGGGGACAUAGUCUCAUUUUAAAAUACAAUUCUGCUUUAUUGUAAAAUACCCUAAUCAGGUUUAUACCUAACAUCUUGUUAGUCACUGCCGGCUCUAUAAAACAAGGCACCAUGUCCCCUUAGCUGCCGUGUCUACAUUUACAAUUCAUGAAGCAUCCAGCAUGACACUUCAGAUUUAUAUACCUAUAAACAUUUAGGUUUCAGAGUAAAUGAAGGACUGUAUAUUAACAUCUCUACUCGUUUCUUAUUCCAGUAUUUCAGACUAACUGGAAGCAUGUUGGGAAGCAGAUACAAGAGACCAGAAACUCGCAUUGCACAAAUCAGAAAGAAAUCAACCUGGUCAUAAAGCUAAGUGGCUCUCACCUAGAUCUGAAAAAUGAACUUCAAGAUAUAAAGGCUGGAAACAGGAGAAGUGUAAUGUCAUUAGAAGGGAGUGAACGGGAUAGGCCAGCUUUUAUUUUUGAGCUCCAAAAUAUAAACAAUGUUGAGUAUCAUUGUCUAAACAAAAGUGUUUUCAGCAGGUGCCAAAAAGAGUGCAGUGAUAACACCUGCCUGAUUUCAAUAGGCAGGGAGUUCCAAAGUUUAGGUGCUGCCACAUUAAAAAACUGAGUUGGCAUAAAGCUAAACUGAUGGUCAGAAGUAGCGGCAUCAGCACAAUUGGCAGUAAGCAUCAUGUGCAUCUCAAGGAGGCAAGAAGCGAUGAUAACAGUAAAAAACCAGCCUACCCUAAUGCAGAUCACCCCCUUGUGGGACUUCAUCUCUUUUUUCCUUUGCCCUCCCGGCAAGGCAUUGCCAGUCGUCCUUGCCCUUUCCUUUCCUUUCCUUUGCCGUCUCCCUCUGUUGUUUCUGCGGCUGUCAAUAUUUAGAUUGCAAACUCCAUGGGGCAGGGAGCUGUCUUUUUUGUAAUGCUUGUGUUGUUGUACAAUGGUGACAUUGUAUAAAUAAUUAAUGCCGCCAAUAACUCUCUCCAAAUAGUGUCUGCGUGCAUAUGGUUAAAACAAGGAGCAUUGGGUAACCUUCAGGAAGAAGAUAUACGGGUGGCUUAUGUUGCAAUACAACAGUUGACCCAGCACAGCUGCAGCUUGUUUUCUGACUGUAAUAAACUGAACACCGAGCUAGAUUUGCUUUUAAUCCCUGCAAAAUGUAAAAUGGAUCGGCCUGUUUCUAAUGCUAAUCAGGUCUUUGUGCCCCGCUUGUGGGUUUCCCUAAAGCAUCUGCUUGCCCGGUGUUGCAAAUAGGUUGCGGACUCUUGGUCUGAUCCAGUAAGUUUCUUUUUAUGUUCUUAUACAGAGCCAUGCUUUAUACAGUACACAUUUUUUAAAGAAAAAUAUACAAUAUGAAAUCAUUAUCAUAAUCAUUUUAGAACCAAGCUGUUAGAUUAAACUCUUUGAAAUUGG
rnacentral:lncRNA from 1 species